UGGUAAUGGUCGGGAUAGCUCAGCUGGUAGAGCAGAGGACUGAAAAUCU
rnacentral:tRNA from 1 species